rnacentral:lncRNA from 1 species
UCUCUUGUACAACAUCUAUGCAAGAUACUAAUGGGAAUGUGUGCAACACCUGAUCAGGAAUGAACUGUAUCAAAUCCAACUCUAUAUAUUGAUUGGAUCUGUGCUCUUUGAUGAAAACUACUUAUGUGACUGUAAGCUGCAAUAUAUUUACAAUAGCUCAUCUACAGCAGGAAGGACCUAAUGGUGAGAACUGUGAGAAUUUUACUACUGUAUAAACCAAUUUAUCUCCAGAUAAAUUACUGUGCUAUGUUUUCUGCAUUUGCUUAUCAGUCUUUUGAAGUCCUUUGGGCAUCACAUUUCCUGUCACAG